UACGUAGGUGGCAAGCGUUGUCCGGAAUUAUUGGGCGUAAAGCGCGCGCAGGUGGUUUCUUAAGUCUGAUGUGAAGGCCCACGGCUCAACCGUGGAGGGUCAUUGGAAACUGGGGAACUUGAGUGCAGGAGAGAAGAGUGGAAUUCCACGUGUAGCGGUGAAAUGCGUAGAGAUGUGGAGGAACACCAGUGGCGAAGGCGACUCUUUGGCCUGUAACUGACACUGAGGCGCGAAAGCGUGGGGAGCAAACAGG
rnacentral:rRNA from 1 species